UCUCCUGUGGCUCAGUUGGUAGAGCAUUGUGCUAACAAAACAAAAGUUGUGGGUUCAAAUACCCUCCAAAAAUG